rnacentral:misc_RNA from 1 species
UCCGGCUUAUCACCGGCAGUUUUCUUAGAGUGCCCGGCAUUACCCGCUGGUAACUAAGAAUGAGGGUUGCGCUCGUUGCGGGACUUAACCCAACAUCUCACGACACGAGCUGACGACAGCCAUGCAGCACCUGUAAUGGACCGGCCGAACCGACUGGCUAAUCUCUUAGCCAUAUGUCCACCAUGUCAAGGUCUGGUAAGGUUUUUCGCGUAGCAUCGAAUUAAACCACAUGUUCCACCGCUUGUGCGGGUCCCCGUCAAUUCCGUUGAGUUUUAAUCUUGCGACCGUACUUCCCAGGCGGAGUGCUUAACGCGUUAGCUGCGACACCGAAAUCAAGUCCCGAUAUCUAGCACUCAUCGUUUAGGGCGUGGACUAC